rnacentral:tRNA from 1 species
GUCACUUUGGCCGAGUGGUUAAGGCGGUGCCCUGCGUAUGUACUCACCGAUCUUCAUAUAGCCAUCAACACUAACAGCCUCACUAGUAAGGCAUUACGUUCGCGUGCGUAGGUUCGAAUCCUGCAGGUGACG